rnacentral:rRNA from 1 species
ACAGGCGAACAUAGCAUAUUGAAAGCACUGGUACUCGUCCACUCACCUCAUUUAAGCAACGUUGAGCCCGGUCGGUACUUCCAUGGGUGACCGGCUGGGAAUACAGGGUGUCGUCGGCU